GGUGGCUUAAAUGGUUAUAGCCUCCGCCUUGAAAGCGGAAGGUUGCGGGUUCGAACCCUGGCAGAGUCA